AUUGAACGCUGGCGGCAUGCUUUACACAUGCAAGUCGAACGGUAACAGGGUGCUUGCACCGCUGACGAGUGGCGAACGGGUGAGUAAUGCGUCGGAACGUGCCGAGUAGUGGGGGAUAACGCAGCGAAAGUUGUGCUAAUACCGCAUACGUACUGAGGUAGAAAGCGGGGGACCUUCGGGCCUCACGCUAUUCGAGCGGCCGACGUCUGAUUAGCUAGUAGGUGAGGUAAAGGCUCACCUAGGCGACGAUCAGUAGCGGGUCUGAGAGGAUGAUCCGCCACACUGGGACUGAGACACGGCCCAGACUCCUACGGGAGGCAGCAGUGGGGAAUUUUGGACAAUGGGCGAAAGCCUGAUCCAGCCAUGCCGCGUGUCUGAAGAAGGCCUUCGGGUUGUAAAGGACUUUUGUCAGGGAGGAAAUCCCUAGUGCUAUAACACUGGGGGAUGACAGUACCUGAAGAAUAAGCACCGGCUAACUACGUGCCAGCCGCCGCGGUAA
rnacentral:rRNA from 1 species